UACGUAGGAGGCAAGCGUUGUCCGGAAUUACUGGGUGUAAAGCGCGUGUAGGCGGCAGGCCAAGUCUGUGGUGAAAUCGCUCGGCUCAACUGGGCGGGGUCCAUGGAAACUGGUCAGCUGGAGGACGGUAGAGGUGAGUGGAAUUCCCGGUGUAGUGGUGAAAUGCGUAGAGAUCGGGAGGAACACCCGUAGCGAAGGCGGCUCGCUGGGCCGUUCCUGACGCUGAGACGCGAAAGCUAGGGGAGCGAACAGG
rnacentral:rRNA from 1 species